CACACACACGACCAGCCUCUUCGUUCUCUUCAGCAGCAGCACUCGAAGGCCCACCGACGCCGCCGCCAUGAUCAAGGUUCUGAUCCUCCUCGCCGUGCUGGCCCUCUUCACCGUCUCGCAGGCUGUGGCUGCGCCACAGUACUACGUCGCAGACAGUCUGUACUACGGCUACCCGUAUUCUGCCUACUACGGCGCCUACUACCCUUACUACUACUACGGGCGAUAAGCUGGAUCUCGUGCUGGCGCCGCGACAGUUCGUGGUGGUUUCUUCAAAGAAAACCUCAGCUCUCUAACGCAUUCUACUACUCCCAGCCCUUGAGAAGCACUGCCUAGUCAUUGUCUGCCUAGCCACCCUGGAAGCACUGCCUAGUCAUUUCACCACCUGUGAUGAAAAAAAAACAGCGCUAAAGAGCGGACGAAGUUUAAGGAAGACACCUCAGUCGUGUCUUCCUUAUUUGUCACUUUCUUAGCGCUGUUUAUUCAUCCCAAGUAGAAACCACUAUCAAGCCCAAGUUUCUCAUCUAGUACGUUUCAUAACGUUGAACGUCGAGCCAAACGAGCACAGACCUAAGUUCUCCUGCGUUUCUUCGAGAACACGACGACGUCCGCAAUUCUAACACCGGGCGUCUUCCUAUCUGGACACUAGAUUUUGAAAUAAAAUGUUUCUAACCAGA
rnacentral:lncRNA from 1 species